rnacentral:rRNA from 1 species
UACGAAGGGGCUAGCGUUGCUCGGAAUCACUGGGCGUAAAGGGUGCGUAGGCGGGUCUUUAAGUCAGGGGUGAAAUCCUGGAGCUCAACUCCAGAACUGCCUUUGAUACUGAAGAUCUUGAGUUCGGGAGAGGUGAGUGGAACUGCGAGUGUAGAGGUGAAAAUUCGUAGAUAUUCGCAAGAACACCAGUGGCGAAGGCGG